rnacentral:rRNA from 1 species
AUGGACCUUCGCAAGGAAGUUAACGCUGCUAAGUUAACUGAUGAUCUAGUGGUCGAUAUCCUCUCCCGCUUGACAUACAAGGACUUUUGCCGCUGCAAAUGUGCCUAUAAGGCCUGGUCUGCCUUCUCCUCCGAUCCAGACUACCGCAAGAGGCUGCCCAAAAAAGUAACCACUGGACUUCUGUACCAAGCCCGCAAUAAGUCUGCUAUCCCGCUUGUAAGCCUUUCCCGAGAUGAUGGAGAAAUCGAUGGAAUUCUUGCUGACGUACCACACUAUGAGCAUUUAGAGUUUCUUGACUGCUGCAAUGGUCUAGUCCUCUGCAAGUACAAGAGCAGCUAUACUUCUCCAGGCAUUUGCCGCUUUGUUGUGUGCAACCCAGCAACACGAGAGCGGAGAAUACUUCCUGAUACUUUUGUUGGGACUGAUAGCUACCGUCGUACAACUAUUUUGGCCUUUGAUCCUUCAUGGUCACCACACUUCUAUGUCUUCAACUUUAAUCGCAUUCAUUUCUUCAGUUUGGUGGGCAAACUUGAGAUGUAUUCAUCUGCCGGUUCCACGUGGCUUGUGGAUGAUGAAUGGGAUUCUGAGAUAACUUUUUCAUGGGGGAAGCCUCACUUAUUUCUUAAUGGAAUGUUGUGCGUGGAGAUUAGGGGCAACAAGUUUUGGUGUUUGAAGGUUUGGAGACAUUGA